UAAUCUUUCUGUGGAUCAGACGCCAUGUUCUUUUUAACCUCAAUCUUUAAUUGUUGGAUGGUUUGUUUUGAUAUUGGUUGUCAGAUUUCGGAUUGCUACUAUUAUACUGUGAAAUUAAUUUGCAGUGGAAAAUUGAGGUAUAAAAUAUUUCUAUUGGUUUCUUUAUUCUUAUAAUUUUUACAAGAGAAAUUGAAAAUGGAUUUACAACAGAAAGGCGUGAAAUUUUCGAAGUUCAAAGUUUUGUACUUUCCAGACCUGCACAACGAAUUACCUAUUUGAAAAAUAGAAUAUGGUUAGAAAUUGCUGAUGUAAUAGAGGAUUCAAGUACCAUUUACAAACAAAAUAUUGAAGAGAAUGUGCUCAAAGGAAAUGCAUAUGAAUUCUUUUUUGUUGACCAGGAUGGAACAAUUCUUUGGAACCUAUACUUAGAAUAAGUUAGUUAGGCCUAGUGAUGUACCAGCCAGAAGUAGAGGAUGACAAAGAAAAUCAACUAUGAAUAAUAUUCCAUGGAUAUGAUUCAUGUAUGAUGUAGUAGCCUACAGAAGAAAGAGAUGGAC
rnacentral:lncRNA from 1 species